AUUGAACGCUGGCGGCAUGCUUUACACAUGCAAGUCGAACGGUAACAGGCCGCAAGGUGCUGACGAGUGGCGAACGGAUGAGUAAUGCAUCGGAACGUGCCCAGCCGUGGGGGAUAACUACUCGUAAGAGUAGCUAAUACCGCAUACGAUCUAUGGUUGAAAUCGGGGGACCGUAAGGCCUCGCGCGGUUGGAGCGGCCGGUGUCAGAUUAGGUAGUGGUUGGGGUAAAGGCUCACCAAGCCAACGAUCUGUACCUGUUCUGAGAGGGCGAGCAGCCACACUGGGACUGAGACACGGCCCAGACUCCUACGGGAGGCAGCAGUGGGGAAUUUUGGACAAUGGGCGCAAGCCUGAUCCAGCAAUGCCGCGUGCAGGAAGAAGGCCUUCGGGUUGUGAACUGCUUUUGUACGGAACGAAACGGCUCUGGUUAAUACCCGGGGCUAAUGACGGUACCGUAAGAAUAAGCACCGGCUAACUACGUG
rnacentral:rRNA from 1 species